rnacentral:rRNA from 1 species
ACGAACGCUGGCGGCAUGCCUAACACAUGCAAGUCGCACGAGACCUUCGGGUCUAGUGGCGCACGGGUGCGUAACGCGUGGGAACCUGCCCUUAGGUUCGGAAUAACUCCCCGAAAGGGGUGCUAAUACCGGAUAAUGUCUUCGGACCAAAGAUUUAUCGCCUUUGGAUGGGCCCGCGUUGGAUUAGCUAGUUGGUAGGGUAAAAGCCUACCAAGGCGACGAUCCAUAGCUGGUCUGAGAGGAUGAUCAGCCACACUGGGACUGAGACACGGCCCAGACUCCUACGGGAAGCAGCAGUGGGGAAUAUUGGACAAUGGGCGAAAGCCUGAUCCAGCAAUGCCGCGUGAGUGAUGAAGGCCUUAGGGUUGUAAAGCUCUUUUACCCGGGAUGAUAAUGACAGUACCGGGAGAAUAAGCUCCGGCUAACUCCGUG